GGCCACGAUGCAUAGCCGACCUGAGAGGGUGAUUGGCCACACUGGGAAUGAGACACGGCCCAGACUCCUACGGGAGGCAGCAGUAGGGAAUCUUUGGCAAUGGACGAAAGUCUGACCGAGCAACGCCGCGUGAGUGAAGAAGGUUUUUGGAUCGUAAAACUCUGUUGUUAGAGAAGAACAAGGACGUUAGUAACUGAACGUCCCCUGACGGUAUCUAACCAGAAAGCCACGGCUAACUACGUGCCAGCAGCCGCGGUAAUACGUAGGUGGCAAGCGUUGUCCGGAUUUAUUGGGCGUAAAGCGAGCGCAGGCGGUUUCUUAAGUCUGAUGUGAAAGCCCCCGGCUCAACCGGGGAGGGUCAUUGGAAACUGGGAGACUUGAGUGCAGAAGAGGAGAGUGGAAUUCCAUGUGUAGCGGUGAAAUGCGUAGAUAUAUGGAGGAACACCAGUGGCGAAGGCGGCUCUCUGGUCUGUAACUGACGCUGAGGCUCGAAAGCGUGGGGAGCAAACAGGAUUAGAUACCCUGGUAGUCCACGCCGUAAACGAUGAGUGCUAAGUGUUGGAGGGUUUCCGCCCUUCAGUGCUGCAGCAAACGCAUUAAGCA
rnacentral:rRNA from 1 species